GUGAUGUUUCAGCACAGCCUGAGGCAAUAUACAGACUUUCGUCCCUCCAAGUCACAGAGAGAAAUCACAAGUAGAGAGGCAGGCAGAGAGAGAGAGAAGCAGACUCCCUGCCGAGCAGAGAGCCCGAUGCGGGACUAGAUCCCAGGACCCUGAGAUCAUGACCUGAGCCGAAGGCAGCAGCUUAAUCCACUGAGCCACCCAGGCGCCCGAGCACUCACUUUCUUGGUGAGUUUUCCCUGCGUGGUUGUUUAUGAUGAGGCCGGUACACUCUUCGUUGAACAAUUACACAGAUUAAGGCAAUCAGGACGACAGAUCAUCGAGCUGGCUUUGAGAUCCCAGUUUCACCAGUUCCUUCCCCUCGCAAGGACAAAGUAUGUGAUCACGUUGGAGGAGCUAAUAGGACAUAGAGAAUUGGUCCGAGGGCUCAGUUCCCCUUCCAAGGCAGAAAAUCAACAGGACUUGCUUCCCUCCUCCUAUCUGGAAUGCUGUUUUGAAACAGAUGGCACUCGAAAAUGUCUGCCUGAUGAAUGAAUCUAUGACUUAGAAGUCCUGAAAUGGAGUAGCUUGGAGUCAGGUAGCCCACAGGGGAUGCUAUAAAUAGCCAGACUGAAAACAGCCCCAUUCAUGCUGUAAUUGAGUUACACCCUUGCUAACUAUACAAGGUAUUCGUCCAGGCUGGAAACAGGCCAAACGAUAGAAUGUCAUCAAGGACAUCUUCAGGGGGGGAAAAAAAAGAGUACCUAGGUUUCUAGACUUCAUGGACACCGUGUAUGUUAACAUCAAACAUUUCUGAUCUUUUACCAGUUAAAUCCCAGAGGGUUUAACAAGACUUUCUUGUUUUGGAAGGCUUUGGUUGGAACCCUAUGUGGCACAAGCCCUGUUGUCAGCACUGCCAAGGGGCCUCGCACGGGGGAGGGGGUAUCAGAAGGGACAAAAGUGCCUGUGAGCUGGGCUGUGGCAGCUGGUUUCUCUUGGGCUCCUGAAGGGCAUCGAGAAGACAUAAGAGAAGGCAGGAGAAGGCAACAGUGGUUUGCCUCACUCCAGUCCUUCCCCAGCAGGGCCCAACUGGAGAACCAGUGGUUUGGUCGGAAGCAAUAACGGUGACAGUGACCGUGAGGAAGGCAGGAGCAGAAUGAGAAGGGGCCUGAUCCCAUUUUCAGAGCUACCAGCUCUUGGGUCUUCAGAAACAUUUCUGCUAAAGGGACUUGCCUUUAUUUUCGCUUUGCUUUCCCAGCCAGCUGGGGUUGGGUCCCCUCAAACUGGCAAAUGUAGGAGAAAUGUUUCAAUAUUAUAUUGAAACCCCGUGCUCCUGUGUGGUGACGCUAGGAGGCAUGGCCUUUGGAAGGUGGUUAGGUAUUGAGGGUGCUUAGGUCACUGAGCCCUGGGACCUCAGGACGGGACUAGUGACCUUAUAAAAGAGACUCCAGAGAGGUUCCUAACCCCCUUCCACUCUGUGAGGACACACCAAGAUGAUCAUCUGGGAACCAGAAAGUGGAACCUCACCAGACACCGAAUCUGCCAGAGCCUUGACCUUGCACGGCCAGCCUCCAGCACCGUGAGAAAUACAUUUAUGUUAUCCAUAAGCCACCCAUCUGUAGCAGCCUGAAUGGACUAAGACGGCUCUCCAGUUGUCCCUGUGAUGAGGUCAUGAUAUAAUACAAGGAGGUUGUGAUGGUUAAUUAACUGCCAAGGAAAGAUCCCUGCCUGCUAUUAAAGUUAGGUUAAUUGAAAAGCGUAAUUAUCCAAUAAACCUUUGGGGGUAAGGACAAAAGGAAAGUUCAGCGUGUACGCUGCUGACUAGUUUACAUUUCUGGACACUAAAUCUUCCAGGAUCCUCCGAAAGUACUUCAUUCAACAUUCCUCAGAAGAAUUUACCAAAGAAGAAGGCGAUGACAGGGAGAGAAGAUGAUGCUAACAGGGAGGAAAGGAAGUGAGACUGGGCCUUUAUGCGAAAUCUGCCCCUGCUGUUAGCACCACAAAACAGUAACAAGAGAACUGUGACUUUAAAGACACCUUUGAAGGCUCAGGGAUAUAGUUUAACGGCCUCAAGUUCUCACAGAUCAGGAUGUAAGAAGCAGACGGAGAUCACAAGGCAGAGAGAGAGGAGGAAGCAGGCUCCCCGCUGAGCAGAGAGCCUGAUGCGGGGCUUGAUCCAGGACUCUGGGAUUAUGACCUGAGCUGAAGGCAGAGGCUUUAACCCACUGAGCCACCCAGGCGCCCCACUUUGAUGUGGUUUUAUUUUAUUUUAAUUUUUAAAGAUUUUAUUUAUUUGACACAGAGAGAGAGAUCACAAGUAGGCAGAGAGGUAGGCAGAGAGACAGAAGGGGAGGCAGGCUCUCUGCGGAGCAGAGAGCUAGAUGUGGGGCUCGAUCUCAGGACUCUGAGAUCAUGACCUGAGCCGAAGGCAGAGGCUUAACCCACUGAGCCACCCAGGUGCCCCAUGAUGUGGUUUUACUUUAAAGUUAAAAAAAUAAGAGUGAUCUCCUAGCCUGCCCUGUAUUCCAUGCCAAAUAAGGGCAAAUACAUAGUUCAUCCAGCCAUCUGUCCAUCCAGGCAAUGUCUACUGAGCACCUACUAUGUUUCAGGUACUAGUGAUCUGAAAAGGAAUAAAAUAUGGUUGCCUCCAAGGGUUCAUAUUUUCAUGGGAAGGCAUGAGUUCCACCAGAGUGUGGUAAGGGAUGUAAAGUAGGCUGUGGGAGCACAGGACAGAGCAUUUUCUCUGGCCUGGGGAUGUGGGGAAGGCUGCUCCUUGCUUUUCUCCUUCACACAGCUUCUGAGGGACUGUCAGUUAGGAACCAGUUGAAAUCCUAGCAUUUUUCUAGCUCUAUAUAGGUCAUAGUGUAUCAUGGAAAAACAUUUCCAUCCAUUCUUUUCAUAAAAUUACUGCUGGUUCAUUUUCUAGAACAUUCUUUCCACAUCCCCGAAUGACUAAUACCAAAACUGAGAUCCUGUGAGAUUAGCUGAGAAUUCACCCCUGACUGUGUUCAUUUUACAAAAAUAAAAUGACACCUGUUAGUUCAAUGGGUGGUCUUCGCCAUGAAGCACAAGCAUCAAGGAAAGGUGUAGCUGGGACUUGUUGCCUAACAGUCCUUGGUCCUAAUAUAGCAACAUUCAUCUGAGAAGCUUAAAGGACUUGACUCACAUGACAAGCUGCCUCAUUUUGCACUGACUCUUUGAGGAAGACAAGACAAGAUUUAUUACACAGUGGCCUAUAUUCCAAAUAGAGUAUGAUGUUCUCUACCCAGGUAAAUGGAAAAGUAUGUCCCAUGACUCAUUCAGGAGAAACCUAGAGAUCCUUCCAUGAGAAGAGAGAAUCGAACCACUGGUUUAGGCCACGGUUCUGCUCCAAGAAUUCUUUCUAAAGUGUAAGGCCUGAUCUUGCUUAUACAGAACUGAACAAAUUAUAACAAAUGACUGAGGCUCAAAUCCCGAGUGUUGUUUGUGUUCGUGUCUAACCAAUAUUUGUCUUGUCAGUUCUCCCUGGGUGAUGCGCCCCUCCCCUCCUUCCAUUCUCCUUCCUUCCUAGUCCUACUACAGUUUGGCCCAGAGACAGUUGACAUUCAGCUGUCCAGCCUCAGUUUCUUUGUGCCCCAACCCGUAACUGAAUAUAACUGUUACAGAUUAAAUGUUUGUGUCUCCCCUCCCAUUCGUAUGUUGAACCCUAAUCCCCAAAGUGAUGGUAUUUGGAGGAGGUAAGUAGGUCCCAAGGGUGGUGCUCUCAUAAAUUGGGCCAGUGCCCUUAUAGAAGAGGCCCAAAUAACAAUCUAGCCCAUUCCCACAUGUGAAGACACAGCAAGAGGCCAUCAUCUAGGAACCAGGAAGUGGGCUCUCACCAGACACCAAAUCGGCCCGCAUUUUGAUCUUAGAUUUCCAGCCUUGCAAUACUGUGAGAAAUAUAUGCCUGUUUUUUUUUUAUAAGCUCUCCAGUUCAUGGUAUUCUGAUAUAGUAGCCUGAGCUAAGACAGCACCAAGGACAGAUUUAUAUCCCAAAUAUAGUGUUUCCUCUUGUCACUUCCCUGCUAAGAAAUCUUUAGUUGUUCCUCAGUGCUUACAAAAUAAAGUCCAAAUGUUUCAUUCUUCAUGAUCGGUCCCAAUAGACCUUUUCCACUACCG